GUACCUAUUGAGGAGGAGCAGUCUAUGGAGGAGCGUACCUAUGGAGGAGCAGUACCUAUGGAGGAGCGUAUUUUAGGGAGGAGCAGUACCUAUGGAGGAGCAGUAACUUUAAUGUGAGGAGAAGGAUAUAUAUGGAGGAGCAUACCUAUGGAGGAGCAGUACCUAUGGAGGAGCAGUAUACUAUGUAGGAGCAAAGUACCUAUGAGGAGCAGUACCUAUGAGGAGGAGCAGUACCUAUGGAGGAGCUACUUUGAGGAGCAUACGUAUGGAGGAGGAGCAGUACCUAUGGAGGAGCGGUACCUAUGGAGGAGCGUACUAUGGAGGAGCGUACCUAGGAGGAGCAGUUAUCUAUGGAUUAGCAGUACCUAUGGAGGGAGGAGCAGUACCUAAUGGAGGAGCAGUAAUCUAUGGAGGACAGUAACCUAUGGAGGAGCAGUAUCUAUGGAAGGAGCAGUACCUAUGGAGGAGCAGUAUUUACAGAGGAGCAAUAUGGAGGAGAGUACCUAGGUGAGGAGCAGUGCCUGAUGGAGGAGCAGUAUUUAUGGAGGAGCAGUAUUUACGGAGGAGCAGUACCUAUGGAGGAGGAGUAUCUAUGGAGGAGCAGUACCUAUGGAGGAGCAGUACCUAUGGAGGAGCAGUACCUAUGGAGGAGCAGUACCUAUGGAGGAGCAGUAUUUACGGAGGAGCAUCUCUAUGUGGAGGACCUGACUGUUGGAGAAACAGGUGGGAUGCACUGAUGAAGCGUUUCGGGCCUGUUCGGCGUUUAGCUUUGGGCGGUAUAACCGUAUACCAGGGGAAAUAGCAACGGGGCGGUUUUUCAAUACUGUUGAAAUUAUUUAUUUUAAGUUUUUCAAUACAUUUUUAUAUUUGUAGCUACUUUUUAAGUACACACAUGCACUUAACUUGCGCAAUACGUUAGGAGAUAAAGCAGAGCUAGAAUGUCUACUAGAGCUGUUGCCAGAUAAUUGAAUGUACGUUUCUCUACCAUAAGCCGCCUCCAAUUUGGCAUAUUCGCUUGUAAAACUCACCAAAAUAACAUUCGGUAGCUCCUACCUAUAUAUGUAGAACUUCGUGAACUGGACUGCUUCUCUUUGCAAUAAGUCAUUUUAGUUUGCGCACAUUAUCAUAUUUAGUUAGCCUCCAUUCGAAACUUGUGCUAAUUUUGUUAGCAUUAUAGACUACUUUUGUCCAGAGCCUAUGGACCUAAUUAAAAGUAGUGCACUACAUGGGGAAGUGGGUUGUGUUUGGGACGCAGGCAGAGAUUGCCAGUGAGAAUGCAGUACUAACCCAUAGCCUCCAUGCCAGGGGGUUUGCCUAGGAUGGGCCGCAGCCCAGGAGUGGUGGAGGUGCCUGGGGUGGGGGCGUCGCUACGAGGGGUGGGGGUGGUCGACUUCAGGCCUGGCAUUGAUGACUUGUCAUUCUGCACAAGAGGAGAGAGAGAGGGGGAGGGACGGAGAGGAAGAUGGAGGGAGAGGGAUAGAUAGAGAAAUGG
rnacentral:lncRNA from 1 species